rnacentral:lncRNA from 10 species
AGAGGUGCCGGUCAUGACCCUUUACAUGGGGAGAAAAGGGAUCACCCUCCUUCUGCCCCUGCAGUUCAGAGAAAGUGAUCUGGAGGGGCCAGCCUGGUGAACAUCAGGCAGAUCCUCAUUCGUUUCAUGGCCUUGGUGAUUCAGCUGCUUUGGCUGUGAAAAGGGAAAAAUUACUGGACCCCUCCGAAUCCCCUGCGGUUGUGAGGAUGAAUUCGUGUGAAGAGCUGAGCUGAGAUACAAAAAUCGCAAGGCCGGGCGCGGUGGCUCACACCUGUAAUCCCAGCACUUUAGGAGGCCUAGCUGGGUGGAUCAUUUGAGGCCAGGAGUUUGAGACCAGCCUGGACAACACAGUGAAACCCCCACCUCUACUAAAAAUACAAAAAUCAGCCAGGCGUGGUGGCGUGCACCUGUAAUCCCAGCUACUUGAGAGGCUGAGGCAGGAGAAUCACUUGAACCCGGGAGGCGGAGGUUGCAGUGAGCCGAUAUCAUGCCACUGCACUCCAGCCUGGGACGACAGAGCGAGACUCCAUCUCAAAAAAAAAAAUGACUUGAACCCGGAAGGCAGAGCCUGGUGCACUCUAAACACAGGAGCUCAGGAACCGCGAGAGAGCUCAAAAUAGAUCCAUGACACAAGGUGACAAAGAUAGUAUUGGAAUUUUUUGGUGAGGAUAUGGGAAAAAGGAUCCAGCUGUUCACCACAAAACUGAAAUUUAAUUUCUCUGGGACGUUUCUGCUCUUUCCUUGCUAAACUUCCCUCCUUCUCCUUUCCCGCCUCCCACCCGGCCCCAACAUCCCCUCUAUUGUCCAGCCCCAGCCUUCUGCUGGCACAGCCCUGACCAAAAGCGGGGUGUGGGGGGUUGCCCACAGCGGCCCCCAAGUGUCCCUGGGACGCGUGAAUCACGACAAGGGUUACAGCUUGCCAGGCUCCCACUGCACACGAAGCACAUUUGGACAUUGCAGACUCUGCAUCUCUGUGGCAAGGACUGCCACAACCCCCUUGGACCCAGGAACCCCCAGGAGGAAGCGCUAGUACCGGGUGUCAAUGUGGCUACCCAGCGCCCGCUGCUUCUGAAGCUAACCUCGAAUGCGUCGCCCACAUCCAUGGCUUCUCUUCUGGGCGCUUCACAGUAACCGUGGAGUAAGGUGGGUAAGUUACCGCUACUCAUUUUCCUUGAAAUCCCAUUUCUCAGGUGAGAGAGAAAAGCUCAGAGAGGCCAAGGGCUCGGGGCAGCUGUGGUGCCACGCCCAGCCCUUUGGUCUGAACUGCCCCAUAGACUGCAUACAGGUCCCAUUGUGUCCGGACUUGGUGGGUUCUUGGUCUCACUGACUUCAAGAAUGAAAUCGCAGACCUUCACGGUGAGUGCUGUAGCGAGUUCUACAGUUCUUAAAGGCGGCGUGGCCGGAGUUUGUUCCUGACGUUCGGAUGUGUUCGGAGUUUCUUCCUUCUGAUAGGUUCGUGGUGCGGCUGGCUCAGGAGUGAAGCUGCAGACCUUCGCCGUGAGUGUUACAGCUCCUAAGGCGGCGCGUACUGGAGUUGUUUGUUCCUCCCGGUGGGUUUUUAAUCUCACUGGC